rfam:Cronobacter sp. DJ34 Bact_A5_4, whole genome shotgun sequence.
AGUAUCAUGCGGCGCCUGCUGCCGUUAUUGAUUUUCUAAACGGUUGCGGUGUGCGUCAUUACGCUUGUGAAUAAUAAUCUGAACAAA